AUGCCGGAGAUUAUAACACUUAUGAUUUAUGCAAAGGAGAGGAUCAAUCAAAGUUUCGCCGAACAAAAAAAGCAACCUUUGCUCAAGAAGAUCUUGUGCAUUGUUGAGAAGCGUUGGGAGACUCAAAUGGUCCGACCAUUGUAUAUGGCUGCUCUUUUUUUUAACCCGGGAAAGUUUUUCCCUAUUGUAAAGAGGAAUGACGAUGCCUUAGUUGGAGAGCUAAGGAGCUGCUUUAAUGAUGUGCUUGCAGAAACAGUACUUGAUGCCAAUACUGGAAGCAAUAUUGAUCAACAAGCUGUGCUCUACGAGGCCCAUCGAGGAGUCUUUUCUAAUGCGUUGGCAAUUGAAAAUAUUGAGGAAAAGGGCCCUCUUGAUUGGUGGUGUGCAUAUGGUGGUCGGGCCACUGAGAUACAAAGAUUUGCAAAGCGCAUUGUCAGCCUUUGUGCAUCAUCAUCCGGGUGUGAGAGGAAUUGGAGUGAAUUUGAAUUUAUCCAUAUGAAGAGAAGGAACAAGCUGCAGUGGAAAAGGUUGAAUGCUUGUGUUUAA
rnacentral:rRNA from 1 species